rnacentral:lncRNA from 1 species
AACGGACAUUAACAUCAUGAGGUUUUUCGUGUGUAUUUUAUUGUUUUCUGUAGAAAUGUUACGUCGUAAGUACAUGAAAUUAUGUAUGCGUGUUUUCAAAUCAUGAAGUAAAAUAAAUCUACUUAGAGUAAAUAAAGUAUUGGUCAUCAAAAAUAGCAUGUCUAAACUGAAGGUGUAAUUUUCUACUUUUUGUUUUACUAGUUGCUAAAUAGUUACCAAACAAACAAUAUGAUGACUGUAUGUCGCAUUGCAAACUCUGGGGUUAACUAAACCGAAAGAAAUUAUUCAGCUUUAACAAAUAAGUGGACAUUUAUUUUCUUUGGCGUUAUAAAGUUUAUUUUCGACUCGGGGAACAUUUUUAAAUUUCAGGUUUUUUUAUGAGUCAACUAGACGCAAAUUUUAUUUGAAAAUUAAACGCCAUCAAUAAAAAUAUUUUGUUCAAAAUUAAACCCAAAAGGUAUAGGGAUAAGCUGAAUACACCAAUUUUCCUUUUUCCUAAGUAAUGUUUUUUUUCUCCAUCAAUUUGGGAAUCAGAAUACUUUUUAAAAAAACAAGGCAUACCCUCAGCUUGAAGUUACAUGUCAGUUCCUUUAUGAGAUUAUAUGUCCCUCUGGUAGCUUUUGCAACUCUUUUAAAAGAGGGACGAAAGAUACCAGAGGGACGGUAAAACUCACAAAUCGACAAUAAACUGACAACGCCAUGGUUAAAAUGAAAAGGACAAACAGACAAAUAAUAGUACACAUAACACAACAUAGAAAACUAAAGAAUAAACAACACGAACCCCACCAAAAACUAGGGGUAUCUCAGGUGCUCCGGAAGGGUAAGCAGAUCCUCUUAAAAAGUAGACUGAUGGUCAGAAAUAUUGUACAUUAUCUUGAAUACCAUCGAAAUAAUUCGUUAACGGUAUCAGCAAAUGUUUUGUUAAUGAUUUCCUUUACAAACGUUAAAUAAUAAGAAAAAUAACAACUGCACACUGUUCAUAAAGAUUAUCCACUGUUUACAUCACAAACAUAAACGGGGGCAGUUACAAUGUUCAACGUGGAAAUGAUAUACUCAUAAUGUCGCAUAUACUAUCAAAUAUAUAUUGUUCGUUCCUUUAAAGGACUGAUAAAAUGUUUCAAUCAUUAUUUCCAACUCAAUCGGUAUGUUUACCACAGUUCCAACUGUUUUGUAAAGACUGCUUUUUAACCCAGAUCCAUUUUUUAUUUGAUAAUCGCACAUUUUCAUCUUAUUUUGAUCUUUUGUUUUAGAUAAUUGUAUUUAUAAUAUGUAUUUGUUCACAUGAAUGUGGGUCUGCCUAUCAGCCAGUUUAUAUAAUUUUGUAAUUUAUUUUUGAACUUGGGAAAGAUUUGUGUACUAGGAAGUCUGCUCUUGUACCCUUAUCCCAUUGGUUGUAUACUUUGUAUUUUUUAGUCUUUUAGGGGUACACGACAACUCGUUUUUACACGAACCGUUUAAAACAUACAUGUUCAUACUAUUUGAAUAGUCUAUUUUUGAUUGACUCUUUUCUAAUGCAGUGAAAUUAAUCUCAGAAAUAAACAAUAGCACAAUACUAGUCGAUGAGUCGUCCGUAUGACUAGAGAAGAUAACUUCAAAUAAAAACCAAAAUCAAAACAUAAAAAUUUUUGUUUUGGUUUAGAGAUUUAGAACUUUUAUUCUUUUAGUUUCAUUUAGAAAAUCAUAACCCAAAUAUAACCCUCUAUCAAACUUACAGGUUUCUGGAAAGGUUCAUUCGUUAUAUUUUCCUAUUUUGUAGUUGAUGGAAAGUAUGUAAAGAUAAAGUUGACAAAUACAGUUAUUUAUCAUCAAGAACCUCUCAUGAUCCAGUGUUUACCAAAUGAAAUAACGAAUGAGGAUGUCAUAUAUAGUUAUCUGUUAAGUAAACAAGUAGGAGAUGUCACCUC